rnacentral:rRNA from 1 species
AGUGAACGCUGGCGGUAGGCCUAACACAUGCAAGUCGAACGGCAGCACAGUAAGAGCUUGCUCUUACGGGUGGCGAGUGGCGGACGGGUGAGGAAUACAUCGGAAUCUACUUUUUCGUGGGGGAUAACGUAGGGAAACUUACGCUAAUACCGCAUACGACCUACGGGUGAAAGCAGGGGAUCUUCGGACCUUGCGCGAUUGAAUGAGCCGAUGUCGGAUUAGCUAGUUGGCGGGGUAAAGGCCCACCAAGGCGACGAUCCGUAGCUGGUCUGAGAGGAUGAUCAGCCACACUGGAACUGAGACACGGUCCAGACUCCUACGGGAGGCAGCAGUGGGGAAUAUUGGACCAUGGGCGCAAGCCUGAUCCAGCCAGACCGCGUGGGUGAAGAAGGCCUUCGGGUUGUAAAGCCCGUUUGUUGGGAAAGAAAAGCAGCAGGUUAAUACCCCGCUGUUCUGACGGUACCAAAAGAAUAAGCACCGGCUAACUUCGUG